GAUGAACGCUAGCUACAGGCUUAACACAUGCAAGUCGAGGGGUAACAAGAGAAAAGCUUGCUUUUCUUGUUGACGACCGGCGCACGGGUGAGUAACGCGUAUCCAACCUGCCUAUAACUAGGGAAUAACCUUGCGAAAGUAAGACUAAUACCCUAUGAUUUCCUUUGAUGACAUCAGAUUAGGAAUAAAGGUUUAUCGGUUAUAGAUGGGGAUGCGUCGGAUUAGCUUGUUGGCGGGGUAACGGCCCACCAAGGCAAAGAUCAGUAGGGGUUCUGAGAGGAAGGUCCCCCACAUUGGAACUGAGACACGGUCCAAACUCCUACGGGAGGCAGCAGUGAGGAAUAUUGGUCAAUGGGCGGAAGCCUGAACCAGCUAAGUAGCGUGCAGGAUGACGGCCCUAUGGGUUGUAAACUGCUUUUAUACAGGAAUAAAGUUAGCCACGUGUGGUUAUUUGUAGGUACUGUAUGAAUAAGGACCGGCUAAUUCCGUGCCAGCAGCCGCCGUAA
rnacentral:rRNA from 1 species